ACAUCCGCAUUCGGCGGAGCAACUUCCGGUUUGGGCUCCGCUGAUGAGGUCCCGCCCCAGCACACUCCUGAGAUUUUAAAAGUUCCGAUACGGUGCUACACUGCCUCCCUGUGAGCCCCUUCGCUGGCUGAACGUGCCCAACUCCAAAGAAAGCACCCAGACGGCUGAUUGACGUGGCAGGAGGUGACUGCUGCGGCAUGUCCGUCUCAGGCCAUGCCAUGGCUUCUACAGUGGUGGCUAUGACCCUGGACUCUGCCUUCAUAUCUUUUAAGGUUGCCUAUCCGGUACCAAUCCGCGUCCGUGGCUUCCCGUGCCCAGAUCCGCUCCGCUGGCUCCAAAGCCCCCUGCCUGCAGUGUCCCUGUUCAAAGCGCCAGAUAUUGCAAGACUGCCAGCUUUUUCACCACUCUUCACAGAAGUAAAAGUGAACACCAUUUGUUUCUAUCUUUAGCACACCUUUUAUAGGGUUCUACAGGGUCUGCGGGCUAAGCAAGCCACCAUUGGCUAAUACACACAGGUUUACAUUUUUUGUCUUACACACAAGGAUAUUGUUUUGCUCUACUCUCUCUUCUGCAGGAAGAGUUCAAGGACUUUAGCCUUUAAUCUCACGACUUAUUUCAAAGAUUGGUUUGUGCAGACAGGCUUUUACUAAUAAAAUCUAGGUACACCAGGCUGUGUUCUGCAUCUGACAGCUGUCAACUCUCCCAGCACACCAGAGCUGUGGGGCAUUGGCAGGUGUGUCACUACUGUCUUACAGCCUUGGAUGGAGGUACCCACAGGAUAGCUGUUGUGUCCCCCAAUGCUGUAUGGUAGUGUAAUAAAUGGAAAUAAUUCAUGCUAACUAAAUUGUAACUAUUUGGAAAGUUAUAAUUAGAAACAAUCAAAGGAAUUAGUUUUACAAGGCAGAUGUACCCCUUUACAGAUGUUACAUGUUAAAAUUAAAGUACAGGAUGUAGUUUUGAGAUAAGUAAUGCCCCAAGACAAAAUUGACCUUGAGAUGGAUAAAGUUGGAACAACUUUAGGCAUGGGGCCUGAAAAUUAUAAAAUGUAAGACUAAUUAGUGGAACAUAAUGCUUACUUACAUAACACAAUGCUUAGUAUGCAUGCGCAACCUGUAAGGUUAUCCAGAGGACAACAAAGAUGAGUGUAAGCCUUCAUCCAAAAGACCACCAAAAGAAGACUGAAGACCCCCUAGCACCAAGUGAGGCAGGCCCCAUGAAGAAUAGUGAUGUAAAAUUAAAGAAUCGGAAAUAGGAGGAGACUUAUGAGAAAUAUUAAUGAAUAUGUAUAAGCAUAUAUUAUAUAAGUUUAAUUUGAAUUGCUUUGUUUUGGUGCAUGAGGUAGGAUGAGAAGCCCUCCCCGUACCAUGGUCAGUUUGCUUAUGCUUUAACCAUACUCAAUUACUUGCAAACUAUAUUCAUAUAUAUAUAUAUUUUUUUACUAAAUGGUACUCUUUUACUGAAUUGUAUUUCUUUUAUACCAAAAUUGUAUUAAAUUCACUAAAUUGCAAUUGUAUUCUUGUAUUCAAUUCACUAAAUUGUCUUGUUAUUAAAUUGCUAUUAACUCAAUAGACCUAGUUGUCCAAAUUUUAAUUUCAUUUAUAACAGUGGGUCCUAGCAACAGUCCUGUGGUGUCUGCAGAUGUCUGUACCUCAAGGGGUGAUACUGGGCAUCAUGAAGGUGGGCUCCAUCCUCACUCAGAAGCCCAUCUUGGUCUGCCUCAUGUUGGCGAGUUGAUCCUCAGUGGCGAAAGCCCUGACAACCUCUAAAAUUUGCAGCUCCCUGUCUCAAGUGUCAGAGCUGGUACGUAGAAAUUUUUCAGCUUGCCGGAAAAGCUAUUGAAGAGAAGCCACCUGCAGACAAACUGUUGGAGCUGACAUGCUUCCCAAUGUGACACAGGGAACAUCCACACCAUCAAGAGAAGAAAGGAUAAGCACUCUCACAAUGCCCCCCCACCCCCAAUAGUCUCUUGGGACCUACUUUACUGAUAAGUGCAUGAGGAAAUGGGUCUUUGGAGUCUUAAAAGAAGGAUUGGAGAUGGCCAAAUGGCAGACUGAAUUCUAAAAAGGAGGUUUAGUCCCCAACUUUCAAAAACUAAAAAUGAAGGUUUGAGGCCAGAAAUGAGCCUUUGAAGACACAAAUGAGGCUUUGGACCUUGAGACAUAAAAAUAAUGCUUUGGACCCUCUAAAUGUGUCUUUGAACCCUAAAAGCAUAAACUUUGUCAAUUAUGAAUUGCUUUUUAGAAAUUUAGAAAAUCUUAGCAAUUUUGUAGUCUAAAAAUGUGGGUUUGGACUUUAUUUGUUCUCCCAAACACAUGUUCUGGUGAUUUAAAAUGUGUGCAGUUCUCUCUCUUUGUGAGGAUUACAUCAUAUAAAUAGUGUCUACGCCUGAAAAACUCAGAGUUAAAUCUGGAAAAUAAUCCUCUGGACCUUGAAAAUGUAGUUUGGGGUCUAGUUUUUAAAAAUUUCUUUGUUCUUGGGAUUCAGAUUCAGAUUCUGACCCUAAUCAUGAGGGGGCUUGAACUAAUAUUUCCCUGUGUUAUAAACCCUGUUCUCAGUACAAAUCCAAAACAUAGGCCCCAUGAAAGGUAUUAUGAAGAACUUUAACUUAAUUACUGGCCAAACCAGUACUACUGUUCCACAUAAUCCCUUAGGCCUCUUUAGGAAACUAAUAGGACUCCGGGAUGGAUCUUGUUUGCAUAGGUUGCCCGCUGGCAACACUUGUUCUUUCCUCUGUAGAUAGUAUGCAAAAGCCCCAGGUAUGGGGUUUAAAAAUACAUGUCAUUUACCCCUGUCCUGGGGUGACUUUAUAUAUCUAUUGCGUACUGCACCUUUAAGAUAGCUUUGGGAGCUGGGGGGAAGUUGAAACUGCUGGAGGCUGAUGGGAGUUUUUUCUCCUGACCAAUUACUAGCCAUUUCUGAGAACUGACAGCAGUUCUAACCAUUGAAAAAUGAGAAGAUGUAAGUCUGGGAAUUUCUGGCUCUCUUUGAUUUCUGGCUUUUGAGGAGGUAACAAGGCUCUGAUUCAGCCUGCCCCCCCCACCCCAGGCCAGACAAGGCUGCGGGUGGGGGGGCGGGAAAAAAGCGGAGCCGGCCGGCUUGACGCGGUUUGCAGUUUGUGCCGCUGCUGAGUUUUACCAGAGACUGCCGAAGAGAGAGAGAGAAUGAUCAACAUGGAAAGAGACCCUAUAAAACUAUCAAAGACAGUGAAGAAAGGAAUUAAGCCUCAGAGGGGGUAGAGAAACAAGGAGAUGCUUUAAUAAGCUGAAAAAUUUCCUGUUAAAGACUAUGGAGAUGGACAGUAGAGUUCUGAGAAAAACUCCUUUAAUUCAUGAUAGAGUAUAUUGGGAGGAAUGGAGUGUUUCAAAGUGUAGAUUUUGAGCAAAUGGUGAAGUAGUUGUGAUACUGUGAGAUGCUGGGACAGAGGGGGAGAAGUUUUUGUCUCUAUGUUGUCAUGUGUACAAGGGAAUGGUUGGGUCGUGGGGGAGAAAAGGGUUGUUCUGGAGGUUUUAUUCUGGUUUCUUGUUCUUGUAGUUUUUGUUAAUAAACUUUCUUUAUUCCUUUUAAGUUUUAAGCCUCUAUUGCUCUUGCUCUAAUCUAUAUCACAUAGCAAGAAAUAAGUAAGUUUUCUAGUGAUUUUUUUUUUGCUAUUGCUUUAAAAUCAUGACACCCCACUCCCUUGCCUCCU